UGUCGAUGAGAGGCCUUGGAAUGGCUGGAAAUAUCAUGUUAGCACUACAAGCCCAUACACCAUUUUCAAAUCAAGAAUAUGCCUAUAAAGGGAUUUUGAAAACGCAUAUCCUUUUUGCAGGCUUCAUCGAAUUCUAAUGUUUUGGAUGGCCUGACAAAUGAAUACCAUUGAACUUACAUUUUCCACUUUGCCAAGAUAUGGACACAUGUCAAGGGUUUCAAUGCGCCUUCAAGCCAACUUUACAAUCCUUAAUUAGCUGCAAAUUUCUUCUCUGUGUCACAAUGUCAUCCAUCUUUUCUCCUCCAGCUUAGCUGCAGACCAGCUUGGUUCCCCUGUUGCAGGUACCAUUGAUUUCUUUGGUUUGGACUAGUGUCGCUGAUUCCUAAAAUACUGGCUCAACUGUUUUUGCACAGAUGCCUACAUGAGAAAUCAAAAUUAGAAUUAACAUUAGUUACCAUGCAUGCAAACCUAUAAGCAGUUUUAGGUUUUAGAUUUGAGCCCAAAACACUAAGCAUUGUCGUUCUGUGCUGAGAAGCUUUUUUAUAACUGGAAGAAAACAAGAGGGUAAUGCAUGAGGCUGCUUAAUUAACGCUAAUAUCCAACCAUGCAAUGUCAGUGACCAAAAUCCUGCAUGAAACAAAGCCAUAUUAACACGCAAAAUUUAAAAAUACUUACAUAUAAUUCAACACUAUAUAUACCUUUCAAAAUAGUGUGUAAAUCUUUAAAGAUUGGAACAACAUUUCAGAUUUUCACAAAAAAUUGUGAUUUUAAAUCUUGAUUUCUACAGCAUUUUUUCAAAGAAUUUAGAUUAGGGAAAAAACAAAUCGGUCAAAUACUGUUGUUUGAUGCCUCGACUGACUGGAGUCCAACGAGCAGAUUAAUAUUAUUUGUAUACCCCAUCGGGCUCCACCAAUAAAAAUCGGAAAAAAACGCGCGGAAAUAUAUAUCAGUGGCUAGUUGUACGAAAGCCGGACGACAGACGUCGCUGAGAGGCCCUGCAUGGAAUGGCUGCAUGGGAAUAUCGUGUUAGCAAUACAAACCCGCGCAUACACCAUUUUCAAAUAAAAAAUAUGCCCAUAAAUUGAAAACGUUUAAUACACUUUUUGCAGGCUUCAUCGAAUUCUAAUGUUUUGGAUGG